CACGUCGAUAAUCUGCCCUUAGGUCACGGAUACCCUCGGGAAACUGAGGCUAAUACGUGGUAGAGGAAUUCCACUGGAAUGUGUUUUCCUUUAAAGGCAACGCCUAAGGAUGAGUUGGCGGCGGAUUAGCUUGUUGGUGGGGUAAUGGCCCACCAAGGCAUUGAUCCGUAGGGGCCUUGGAAGAGGUAGCCCCGAGAAGGACACUGAGAUACUGGUCCUAGCCCCACGGGGUGCAGCAGGCGCGAAAACUUUACACUACACGAAAGUGUGAUAAGGGGAUUCCAAGUGGUUAUACACAUGUAUAAUCUUUUUUUGAGAGCAAAGAUCUCGAAGAAUAAGUGGUGGGUAAGACCGGUGCCAGCAGCCGCGGUAAUCCCGGCGCCACAAGUAGGGACCAGGGUUAUUGGGCCUAAAGCGUUCGUUCAGGUUGGAUAAAUCUCUUGUGAAAUCGUUGGGCUUAACCUAACGGCGUGCAGGAGAGACUGUUCAACUUGAGACCGGGAGGGGUUGAGAGUAUUCCUUGGGGAGCGGUAAAAUGCUAUAAUCCUUGGAAGACUACCUGUGGCGAAGGCGCUCAACCAGAACGGGUCUGACUGUGAGGGACGAAAGCCAGGGGAGCAAUCCGGAUUAGAUACCCGAGUAGUCCUGGCUGUAAACGCUGUGAGCAAGGUGUUGCAUAUUCUAAUAUGAAUAUGCAGUGUCGAAACGAAGGUGUUAAGCUCACCGCCUGGGAAGUACGGUCGCAAGACUGAAACUUAAAGGAAUUGGCGGGGGAGCACUACAAGGGGUGCGGCGUGCGGUUUAAUUGAACUCAACGCCGGGAAUCUCACCAGGAACGACGGCAGUAUGAAGGUCAGUCUAAAGGGCUUACCCAACGAGCCGAGAGGUGGUGCAUGGCCGUCGUCAGCUCGUGCCGUGAGGUGUCAUGUUAAGUCAUGCAACGAGCGAGACCUGCAUCUACAAUUGCUAACGGCUCCGCAAGGAGGACUGAGCACAUUGUAGAGACUGCCUUGGAAACGAGGAGGAAGGUGCAGGCUACGGUAGGUCUGUAUGCCCCGAAUUCCCUGGGCUACACGCGCGCAACAAUGGUAGGGACAAUGGGAUGCAACACCGAAAGGUGAAGCUAAACCUCGAAACCCUAUCCCAGUCCAGAUUGGGGGCUGAAACUCGCCCCCAUGACGUCGGAAUCCCUAGUAAUCGGACGUCAUCAGCGUCCGGUGAAUAUGUCCCUGCUCCUUGCACACACCGCCCGUCAAACCACCCGAGCAGGGUCUAAGUGAGGCCUAGCCUUUAGCUAUGUCGAACUUAGGCUCAGUGAGGAGGGUUAAGUCGUCACAAGGUA
rnacentral:rRNA from 1 species